rnacentral:rRNA from 1 species
UACAGAGGGGGCAAGCGUUGUUCGGAAUUACUGGGCGUAAAGGGCGCGUAGGCGGCCUGUUAAGUCGAACGUGAAAUCCCCGGGCUCAACCCGGGAACUGCGUCCGAUACUGGCUGGCUUGAAUCCGGGAGAGGGAUGCGGAAUUCCAGGUGUAGCGGUGAAAUGCGUAGAUAUCUGGAGGAAGGCCGGUGGCGAAGGCGGCGCUCUGGAACAUUUCUGACGCUGAGGCUCGAAAGCGUGGGGAGCAAACAGG